rnacentral:rRNA from 1 species
GAUGAACGCUAGCGGCAGGCUUAACACAUGCAAGUCGAGGGGUAUAGUUCUUCGGAACUAGAGACCGGCGCACGGGUGCGUAACGCGUAUGCAAUCUACCUUUUACAGGGGGAUAGCCCAGAGAAAUUUGGAUUAAUACCCCAUAGUAUGUUAGAGUGGCAUCAUUUUAACAUUAAAGUUCCAACGGUAAAAGAUGAGCAUGCGUCCCAUUAGCUAGAUGGUAAGGUAACGGCUUACCAUGGCGACGAUGGGUAGGGGUCCUGAGAGGGAGCUCCCCCACACUGGUACGGAGAAACGGACCAGACUCCUACGGGAGGCAGCAGUGAGGAAUAUUGGACAAUGGGCGCAAGCCUGAUCCAGCCAUGCCGCGUGCAGGAAGACGGUCCUAUGGAUUGUAAACUGCUUUUGUACAGGAAGAAACACUCCCUCGUGAGGGAGCUUGACGGUACUGUAAGAAUAAGGAUCGGCUAACUCCGUGCCAGCCGCCGCUGUAAUAC